rnacentral:rRNA from 1 species
GACGAACGCUGGCGGCGUGCUUAACACAUGCAAGUCGAACGGUAAGGCCCUUCGGGGUACACGAGUGGCGAACGGGUGAGUAACACGUGGGUGAUCUGCCCUGCACUUCGGGAUAAGCCUGGGAAACUGGGCCUAAUACCGGAUAGGACCACUGCCUGCAUGGGUGGUGGUGGAAAGCUUUUGCGGUGUGGGAUGGGCCCGCGGCCUAUCAGCUUGUUGGUGGGGUGAUGGCCUACCAAGGCGACGACGAGUAGGCGGCCUGAGAGGGUGACCGGCCACACUGGGACUGAGAGACGGCGCAGACACCUACGGGAGGCAGCAGUGGGGAAUAUUGCACAAUGGGCGCAAGCCUGAUGCAGCGACGCCGCGUGAGGGAUGACGGCCUUCGGGUUGUAAACCUCUUUCAGCACCGACGAAGCGCAAGUGACGGUAGGUGCAGAAGAAGGACCGGCCAACUACGUGCCAGCCGCCGCGGUAAGAC